GGUUUCGACCUUUCAAUAGAGAGCUGAUUUUGGAGAACGGCUUACUCCUGUGAUUGAAAAACUCUCUGGAAGGUUGAUGGAGCAUAAGCAUGAUUAAUAUAACUUAUGUUGCUGACCCACUUUCCAUUAUGUAAAAACCUGAACAGAAUUUGUCACUGAGGUCUGAUCAGCAACUCCAGUGCAAUUUGAAAAUAUGUAAUCUGCUGGCGAUGAUGCGCCCAACCUUAAUCGGUGCUGGAGCCUCUGGAAGAGAGAUUGUGUCAUCACACAGUCCAACAGUGACCUUGAUGAAUCUGUGAAAGAAGAAAAUAGUUUUCUCACUUCUUCAUUUGUAAAAUGCACAAAAGGGGGAAAAAAAAUAACCAAAUGUGGAGUUUAACCCAUUGAAGUUGUUAGAUUCUCUGGGGU